CCUACGGGAGGCAGCAGUGAGGAAUAUUGGUCAAUGGCCGGAAGGCUGAACCAGCCAUGCCGCGUGAAGGUCAGUGCCCUAUGGGCGUUAAACUUCUUUUGUGCGGGAGCAAUAAUGGUCACGUGUGGCCAGACGAGAGUACCGUACGAAUAAGCAUCGGCUAACUCCGUGCCAGCAGCCGCGGGAAUACGGGGGAUGCAAGGGUUAUCCGGAUUUAUUGGGUUUAAAGGGGGCGUAGGAGGUGAGGUAAGUCAUAGGUGAAAUGCCCCCGCUCAACGGGGUGAAGUGCCAUUGAUACUGCCUGGCUGGAAUGCGGAUGCGGUGGGAGGAAUGUGUGGUGUAGCGGUGAAAUGCGUAGAUAUCACACAGAACACCGAUUGCGAAGGCAUCUCACGAAUCCGCGAUUGACGCUGAUGCACGAAAGCGUGGGUAUCAAACAGGAUUAGAUACCCUGGUAGUC
rnacentral:rRNA from 1 species